rnacentral:rRNA from 1 species
CGGCAGAGAUGCCUUAGUGCCUUCGGGAACCGUGAGACAGGUGCUGCAUGGCUGUCGUCAGCUCGUGUUGUGAAAUGUUGGGUUAAGUCCCGCAACGAGCGCAACCCUUAUCCUUUGUUGCCAGCGAUUCGGUCGGGAACUCAAAGGAGACUGCCGGUGAUAAACCGGAGGAAGGUGGGGAUGACGUCAAGUCAUCAUGGCCCUUACGGCCAGGGCUACACACGUGCUACAAUGGCGCAUACAAAGAGAAGCGACCUCGCGAGAGCAAGCGGACCUCAUAAAGUGCGUCGCAGUCCGGAUCGGAGUCUGCAACUCGACUCCGUGAAGUCGGAAUCGCUAGUAAUCGUAGAUCAGAAUGCUACGGUGAAUACGUUCCCGGGCCUUGUACACACCG